CGGUCCCCGCCCCCGCCGACGCCGGCCCCGCGCUCGGGCUCCACCUCGCGUCCCGCCAGCAUCACUUCGGCUCCAGACCCGGACGCCAAGGAUUGCGGAGCCGCGAGAGUGACAUUGGCCACACGGGUGGAAUAAUAAUGUAAUAAAGAAGUGUAUCAAGCGUGCUGGGGACGUAGGCGAUGCUCAGGGAAUCCAAGACAGUGGGGCUGCGUCUGGGGGAGUCAGUGAUGCAUCGUUCACGUCAAGAACAGUUCGAAGUACAAGGACUGGCCAAGGCCUUUGCUGACUUGGAGGAUGAAGGGGCAGCGGCCACGGGACGCGGACCCGCCUGGACACUGAGCUCUCCAUGCGCUGGCAGCCUGCCAGGACACGGCCCUCUCCGCCCCGCACCUGCCGCGGGAACCGGGGCCCUGCGACACCUGCACACCAGCCCCAUGAGCCCACCCUCACCCCCGGUUUUGUUUUUUCUUGGAUAAGGUAAAACCUUCACGUGGUCAGUAACUAAAUGGGUGCUCCCCCCACCUGUCCGCUUUUCAGCACUACUCCCUUAUGUCACUUCUCACCAGGGUCUCCCCUAUGUUACUCCUAUUCCUAAUUCACCUGUAUGCUCCUGGAUUUUCUUUAGGCAUGGACACGUACAUAUGAAAAUAAAUGUUCUCUUCCUAGUUAAGUGAAAUGUCACAUUUACACACUAUUCUGCAGCCUGCUUUUUUCAAUUCAUGUACCUUGGAGGUGUCUCUCCAUCAGCAUAUACCGAGCUGUCGAACAGCAUACUUACCAUUAUAUACUGUACAGAAACAGCCUAUUUUCAAUUGGGUUGGUCCAAUUAGCCAGAAGUUGCAUCUGAACUUUUAAUUUCCUCUUACUCCUGACUCAGGAAGUCUACAAGUAGGGCUGGAGAGAGGGUAGAAAGAGGACACCUGUAAUUAUAUGUUGUGAUUAAAACACUUUCUGUGUGAAACCAUUUGAUCUUUCAGGUGAUACUAAAGUAGGAGCUCCAAAGCAUACUGUCAAUCAAAGGAAAUUCUAUAUAGAUAUGUUCAAAGAUGAUUUUCAGAAAAAGGUAAAGCUGUGAUUCAGAUAUACAAAUGAGCAUGUUGUGAGGCAAUAAGAUAUUUCCAAUCAUUUUAGUUCACAAAAGCAAAGUCCGGUAAAUGGUUAUGGCUCGGGGCACAGAUUAAGAGGAGAGAGAGAGAGCUUUUUUGUAGAUCUAGACGAGAGAGCUGAACAGCAUCAGCAGUAUUCCAGACAUACACCACAGUCAUCCCUCAUCCAGGCCUCUGUAA